GUGAGCACAAAGCGAACUAUUCUUUCGCCUUUUACUAAAGAAUACCGUGUGCUCGCCUUACUUAGUGGCAUACGCCUAUUUUUGGAGAGUUUCUUCUUUUAUAGAAGGGCUCCAACCAAUAUUUUCAGUUUUACUUUUUCUGAUGUGAAUAAGAAAAAAGCUCCAACUCAUCAGUGAGGGACUUGAUUAAUGCCAAAGGAUUAGACAAGAACAUAUAGGACAGAGAAUGGAGAAUAUCGCCCCUCGCCAGAGGAUGGAUUUGUGACUGAAAAAGAAGAUAUUAUAACUACAAGGCCAUAAGUGUCUCGGUUAGCUUGUAAGGUCAUUGUUAGGAUCCAUUCCAAUAAUGGUUGUAAAGUGACAUUAAAUAAGUUUAAAUCAGCUGUUUUUAGCAAAGUUCA